rnacentral:rRNA from 1 species
UGGGGAAUAUUGCACAAUGGGCGCAAGCCUGAUGCAGCCAUGCCGCGUGUGUGAAGAAGGCCUUCGGGUUGUAAAGCACUUUCAGCGAGGAGGAAGGUGGUGAGCUUAAUACGCUCAUCAAUUGACGUUACUCGCAGAAGAAGCACCGGCUAACGUCCGUGCCAGCAGCCGCGGUAAUACGGAGGGUGCAAGCGUUAAUCGGAAUACUGGGCGUAAAGCGCACGCAGGCGGUUUGUUAAGUCAGAUGUGAAAUCCCCGGGCUCAACCUGGGAACUGCAUUUGAAACUGGCAAGCUAGAGUCUCGUAGAGGGGGGUAGAAUUCCAGGUGUAGCGGUGAAAUGCGUAGAGAUCUGGAGGAAUACCGGUGGCGAACGGCGGCCCCCUGGACGAAGACUGACGCUCAGG